CAUUAAUUAAUAGCAAUUAUGAUUCAGAACUCCAUAAUUUAUUUCUUCAUUGAUGCGGUACAUCUAUGAGUCAUAAAUCAAUCUUUGAUGGAUUAGAAUACCCAGAAAUUGAAUUGGUUGUGAUUCUUCUUGUAAGUAUGUCUAUAUUGAAAUACCUUAAUGAACAAAAUAUGACUAGCUAAAAGUGGUUCUAAAAGUGGUUAUAGUUUAUUGUUAAUGGUAAAGAG
rnacentral:misc_RNA from 1 species